rnacentral:rRNA from 1 species
GACGGUAGCACAGGAAAAAGUCUCGGCUAACUACGUGCCAGCAGCCGCGGUAAAACGUAGGAGGCAAGCGUUAUCCGGAGUUACUGGGCGUAAAGCGUGCGUAGGCGGGUCGGUAAGUGGGUGGUGAAAGCACCGGGCUAAACCGGGCGAGGUCCAUUCAGACUGCCAACCUAGAGGCGGAUAGAGGGGUGCGGAAUUCCGGGUGUAGCGGUGAAAUGUGUAGAGAUCCGGAGGAACACCAGUGGUGCAAACGGCGCCCUGGGUCCGAACUGACGCUGAGGCACGAAAGCGUGGGGAGCGAACGGGAUUAG